UACGUAGGGACCAAGCGUUGUUCGGAUUUACUGGGCGUAAAGGGCGCGUAGGCGGCGUGACAAGUCACUUGUGAAAUCUCCGGGCUUAACUCGGAACGGUCAAGUGAUACUGUUGUGCUAGAGUACAGAAGGGGCAAUCGGAAUUCUUGGUGUAGCAGUGAAAUGCGUAGAUAUCAAGAGGAACACCAGAGGCGAAGGCGGAUUGCUGGGCUGAUACUGACGCUGAGGCGCGAAAGCUAGGGUAGCAAACGGG
rnacentral:rRNA from 1 species